rnacentral:rRNA from 1 species
GAUGAACGCUGGCGGCGUGCCUAAUACAUGCAAGUCGAGCGAACAGACGAGGAGCUUGCUCCUCUGACGUUAGCGGCGGACGGGUGAGUAACACGUGGAUAACCUCCCUAUAAGACUGGGAUAACUUCGGGAAACCGGAGCUAAUACCGGAUAACAUGUUGAACCGCAUGGUUCAAUAGUGAAAGACGGUUUUGCUGUCACUUAUAGAUGGAUCCGCGUCGCAUUAGCUAGUUGGUAAGGUAACGGCUUACCAAGGCAAUGAUGCGUAGCCGACCUGAGAGGGUGAUCGGCCACACUGGAACUGAGACACGGUCCAGACUCCUACGGGAGGCAGCGGUAGGAAAUCUUCCGCAAUGGGCGAAAGCCUGACGGAGCAACGCCGCGUGAGUGAAGAAGGUCUUCGGAUCGUAAAACUCUGUUAUUAGGGAAGAACAAAUGUGUAAGUAACUAUGCACGUCUUGACGGUACCUAAUCAGAAAGCCACGGCUAACUACGUG